rnacentral:rRNA from 1 species
AUGAUUGUCGUGCAUGAAUUGCAAUUCUCCAUGGUGGAAUAUGUUGGAUUUAGGCAAUUCAUGCAUAGUCUGAAUCCCACAUUUUAGGUGGUGUAUAGGAUGACAAUAAGAGUUGAUUGACUCAUGCUAUUUGAUGAACAAAGGACAAAGCUUCUAGUGGUUAUACAAAACUUAACCUCUCAUGUCAUUUUAACUGCCGACAUGUGGACGUUAAGUCAAGUCAUGAGCUAUAUGUGUAUAACAUGUUGUUUUGUUGGUGCAAACUGGAAAUUGCAGAAAAGAAUGAUUUGGUUUUCCAAGGCACAAACCCCACACGGUGGAACAAAUUUAUUUAAUAUCAUGUUAGAAUACAUGCAACAUUGGGGUUUGCCAAAGAAGGUUUUCUCCAUUACUUUAGACAAUGCAACAAAUAACAACUCGUGUGUGAGCUUCAUCAAAUCCAUUAGGCUAAACAAUGCAACAAAGAAUUUGCUACCUUCUAAAGGAGAUCUUUUACAUGGUCAAUGUGAUUCCCAUGUGAUCAACCUCAUGGGAAAGCAUCAAGUUCGUUAG